rnacentral:rRNA from 1 species
UGUCAUUAAUUGCCAUCAUUUAGUUGGGCACUUUAAUGAGACUGCCGGUGACAAACCGGAGGAAGGUGGGGAUGACGUCAAGUCCUCAUGGCCCUUAUGGGUAGGGCUUCACACGUAAUACAAUGGCGCGUACAGAGGGUUGCCAACCCGCGAGGGGGAGCUAAUCUCAGAAAGCGCGUCGUAGUCCGGAUCGGAGUCUGCAACUCGACUCCGUGAAGUCGGAAUCGCUAGUAAUCGCGGAUCAGCAUGUCGCGGUGAAUACGUUCCCGGGUCUUGUACACACCGCCCGUCACACCAUGGGAGUGGGUUCCACCAGAAGCAGGUAGUCUAACCGCAAGGAGGGCGCUUGCCACGGUGAGAUUCAUGACUGGGGUGAAGUCGUAACAAGGUAGCCGUAGGGGAACCUGCGGCUGGAUCACCUCCUU